rnacentral:rRNA from 1 species
UACGGGGGGGGCAAGCGUUGUUCGGAAUUACUGGGCGUAAAGGGCGCGUAGGCGGCCUGCUAAGUCGGAUGUGAAAUCCCUCGGCUUAACCGGGGAACUGCAUCUGAUACUGGAUGGCUUGAGUUCGGGAGAGGGAUGCGGAAUUCCAGGUGUAGCGGUGAAAUGCGUAGAUAUCUGGAGGAACACCGGUGGCGAGGGCGGCAUCCUGGACCGACACUGACGCUGAGGAGCGAAAGCCAGGGGAGCAAACGGG